ACGAACGCUGGCGGCGUGCUUAACACAUGCAAGUCGAACGGAAAGGCCCCUUUGGGGGUACUCGAGUGGCGAACGGGUGAGUAACACGUGAGUAACCUGCCCUUGACUUCGGGAUAACUUCAGGAAACUGGGGCUAAUACCGGAUAGGAAUCCUUGCUGCAUGGUGGGGGUUGGAAAGCUUCGGCGGUUUUGGAUGGACUCGCGGCUUAUCAGCUUGUUGGUGGGGUAGUGGCUUACCAAGGCUUUGACGGGUAGCCGGCCUGAGAGGGCGACCGGCCACAUUGGGACUGAGAUACGGCCCAGACUCCUACGGGAGGCAGCAGUGGGGAAUAUUGCACAAUGGGCGGAAGCCUGAUGCAGCAACGCCGCGUGCGGGAUGACGGCCUUCGGGUUGUAAACCGCUUUCAGCAGGGGCGAAGCUUGUGGUGACGGUACCUGCAGAAGAAGCACCGGCGAACUACGU
rnacentral:rRNA from 1 species